AUGACCUUUGCCUGUCUCCCCCAGCACAUUCUGUGUCUUAAUUCUUUCCAGAGAUUACGAGGGGAGUCUGGGGUUGAGCCAGCAACAAAAUCGCAUCACAUAUUAUCAGCAAGCAGAGAAGACAGGCUACAGAAGGGGAGAGAUGGGGCACUGCUGCUGAGUGGUACAGAACCUGCCUAUUUUGUGAGAGGUCCUGCUACCAGGCUCCCCACCACACACACAAAGUUAAAAGUCAAUAAAUCUGCCUCAGAGCCAGAGUUUGCAAUGAACAAAGAAAACAGUAAGGAUCAACUCCAGAGCCUUGCCAAUACUAAAAGCACACUCUACUGCUCAGCCACCCCUUCAGCUGAAGAUGUGGCUUGUAUGACCUGCCUGUACCCAGAACCGUACUCACAGACAUAUAUGUACAUAUAUGCCCAUAUUCCCUUCCCACUCUUCCUAGUGUGGGUGUGUCAUAAAUUUGAAAUAUCUUGACAUCUGUUUCUUGUACUUCUGAUUUUCUUUCAAAUUAAGUGUGACUGGAGAUGUAGAUCAGUGGGUAGACUGUUGGCCUAGCAUGUAUGAGGUUCUGGGUUUGAUCCCCAGUAGUGAAUAAAGCAUGUGUACUGGUGUAGCAUAGCAUGCCUAUAAUCCUGGCACUAGGGAGGUGGCAGCGGGGAAGAUCAAGAACUCAAGGGGACCCUCAGCUACACAGUAAGUUUGAGGCCAAUCUGGGCUAUGUGAGACCCUGUCUUAAAUCGUAAUAAUUUCCCUGCUCCUUUCCCUGAUUUUGUUUUUCAUUUAUCCUUCAUUUCUUUAUCCCAGAACUCUCUGACAGAAGAGUUCCUUCAAACAUACCGCAGAUUCUAUCAGUUUAAUCUUUUUCUUUGAACCCCCAUCCUAGCAACCAUCAAUUCUGAUGCAGCCUGGCCUAGUUGCUCUUUAGGCCACCUGCACAGCUGUCACACUAAGACCACCCCUCUCUCUUACCCAUAAACCUUUUCACUCCAUUUCCCGAGUGGAACAUUGUCCUUUCUCUUUCUGGGUUGGUCUCUGAAAAGAGUAGCCUCA
rnacentral:lncRNA from 1 species